rnacentral:rRNA from 1 species
AAUGAACGCUGGCGGCGUGCUUAACACAUGCAAGUCGCACGAGAACGCUUCAGCUUGCUGAAGCUAGUAAAGUGGCGUACGGGUGAGUAACGCGUGGGUAAUCUAUCUCUGAAUUGGGGAUAACAUUGCGAAAGCGAUGCUAAUACCGGAUAAAAUCCAUUAAACCUCGGUUUUUUUGGAUCAAAGGUGGCCUCUACAUGUAAGCUACUGUUCGGAGACGAGCCCGCGUACCAUUAGCUUGUUGGUAGGGUAAUGGCCUACCAAGGCAACGAUGGUUAGCUGGUCUGAGAGGAUGAUCAGCCACACUGGAACUGACACACGGUCCAGACUCCUACGGGAGGCAGCAGUGAGGAAUUUUGCGCAAUGGGGGAAACCCUGACGCAGCAACGCCGCGUGAGUGAUGAAGGCUUUCGGGUCGUAAAGCUCAGUCAAGUGGGAAGAACCCGUGCCGCACAAAUAGUGCGGUGCGCUGACGGUACCACUGAAGGAAGCACCGGCUAACUCCGUGCCAGCAGCCGCGGUAAUACGGGGGGUGCAAGCGUUAUUCGGAAUCAUUGGGCGUAAAGAGCGCGUAGGCGGUCUUCUAUGUCAGGUGUGAAAGCCCGGGGCUCAACCCCGGAAGUGCACUUGAAACUG